UUGAGACCCAAGACUUGUUCAGUAGGAUUAAGGAGUGGGGCAGAAAACCUAACCUUUAGAAAUGUCCUUGACCAGAAAUAUAGGUGUUCUUAUCUCUGAUUCAGUGGAACCAGGAGACCCAAUACUGGCCCCCACAGGCUUCUGAGGCCUUUAGUUCUCCCCCAGUUACCCAAGCAGGUACUUGAAGGACAUGCUGAAUCUCAAGGAUAUUAUGUCCACCUAGGAGUCAGAGCUCACUGAUUUUAGACUAACAAGCUCCAAAUUCCCCUUUACUGAUGGGUCCUCAACAGAUACUCCUCAUUUUAUCACCCUUUCCUCUGAUUCACUAGCCACAGCUUUCUGGCAACAUGCUCUACCUACCCUGACAGCUAAAGACAAAAUGUCCUGGAUGCUGGGCCUGGGCUGCUGCUGAGAGUGAAGAAGCCAGGCGCCCUCUUCAGUGCACAUAUAUAUGCAGGUGGUCUGUUUUGGAGUACUGCCUGCCUGUACCUGGAAGAUCUGUGGAGCACUCAGGCCUGGUUGAAGCACCGCUGAAAUCGCACUGUCGCCUGCCUUGAGAAUCAGACCUGAAGAACACCACUGGUUCAUCUCUUACACAGGCUGACCGAUUUCUCCUGGUGUUCAGAGUCUGUUUUUGUCUAGCACCAUUUGAAAUCGGUUAUGAUGUAGGGGGAAAAGCACCAGCCUCCGAGCCUUGUGGUGUCUGGUCAGCAUCAGCCUGUCAUUUCCUACCCGGGCAGAGCACAAGAGGAAGAUCACAGUUUCCGAACUUGUUUAAUGCAUAUGUAUGUAUGUGGUUGCAAAAGUUAGAGAUCACUUAGUGGGUUUUUUUUUAAAUGUUAUAAUUUGUUGUUGUAAAAUAUCCUCAGUUAAAAUUUCUGACAUGUAGUACUGUUACAAACUAGUUGCUGUUGAACCGUCUGUUAAGUGUUGGCUUUAAUAAAUAAUUUGCUACAUUUAAUCUA